AUGGUCCAGACUUGGAUAGACCCAGGAGGUUUUGCUCAUUUCUACAGAGUAAGUAAAGCAGAGAUAGCAGCCAGGUGUGCCAUGAACAGGCCUGGCCCUAAAGUAUGUAUCCUGGGGCAGGAACACCAAUGAAAGCCUGACCCACAGUUCCCAUCCCACCCUGGGUUCUGUGCCCCUGCACAAGCAUCCUGCAAAUGUGGGCGGGAACAUCGGUGCAAACAUCAUCUACUCAGUGCACACCCUUGAAAACAGCUGCCCCUUUGGCCCAGUGUGCACACUGGCCUAGAUAUGGAGAGAGGACCAGGCAGGCCUGGGCAGGAGGCUUUUGGCUGUUUGGGAAGGAAACAAGGGGUCCUGGGAGCCCAGAGAAUAGAUUACAAGUGGGAAGAUGGACUCUGUGCAUCAUAGCUUUUCACUC
rnacentral:lncRNA from 10 species